rnacentral:rRNA from 1 species
GAUGAACGCUGGCGGCGUGCCUAACACAUGCAAGUCGAACGAAGUGGCGAACGGGUGAGUAACGUGUAAUCAACCUGCCCUUCAGUGGGGGACAACAGUUGGAAACGACUGCUAAUACCGCAUACUGAAGGUGGGGAUUGCGUAUGAUUAGCGAGUUGGAGGGAUAACGGCCGACCAAGGCGAUGAUCAUCGGCCUGUCUGGGAGGAUGGACGGCCACAAUGGGACUGAGACAAGGCCCAGACUCCUACGGGAGGCAGCAGUGAGGAAUCUUCCGCAAUGGACGAAAGUCUGACGGGGCAACGCCGCGUGGUUGAUGGCGGGCUUCGGGUUGUAAAGCUCUGUUAAUCGGGACGCGGUACCGGAAUAGAAAGCCACGGCUAACUACGUGCCAGCAGCCGCGGUAAUAC